UAUUAUUAUUUAAACUUUGUUAAUUUUGCAAAUCAGUUAAAAAUAUUCGUAAUGAUUUAAAAUUUGGACAAAAAACCUAUAUUUGCCUUUUCUAGACAUGUUAAGAUUUUUAAAAAAUAGAGAGCAUUUUUGAGCCAUUUAUGGACUUUUUAAUUUUGAGAGUUUUGUAUGAAAUUUUUAUUCGGUAAGUACUCUAUAGUCAAUUAUUGGACAUAACAGAAAUGCUUGAAAAUUCAACAAGGUAUUCAUUAAAAGACUUACUUUGUGGUAAAAAAAGACGUCCUAGGAUAAUGGAGAUGAGUACAACCACUGUUGUAGAUAAUUUUACGUUUAACGAUAAACCGUUGCUAACGAAAAAACGAUUCUGAGCGCAUUUCAGUUCAUAGUGAUGCUUUGUCAACAAUUUAUUUGUCAUAUUAUGGUAAAAUAAUUAAAUAGGCAUUAUAUAGUUGUAUAAUAUUGUUAAUAUUUGUUAAAUAUUGUCUCGAUUUUCCCCUUUUUCCUGCGUUUAUCCCGGUUUUUCUCAUUUACUGGGAAAACUCUUGAGAAAAUUGAAAUUGACCUCCCUAAAAUACCUCUACAGUCAGAUUUACUUUCAGAAAAAGUGCUAUCGUUUUAAAUCGAAACAAACUUGCUGGUAAAAGAGGUGUACACGGAAAAAAAGGCCAAUUUUUUUACUAAUACCUACAUUUCGUACAUUUUCCGUUUUUCCGACUUUUUAUCCAAGUUUUCCCCAGAUAUUAUGAAAAUCGCUUGAAACAUCAAAACAUUACCUCCCAGAGGAAAAACUCCCUUUUAGAAAAUAAGCUACAAUUGAUACAUCGUAGCAAGAUUUCUGGUAGAAAAGUUUGCACAACAAAUCGUGAGGUAUUUUACGAUUAAAAUAGUCUGAGUGAGCGAUGGCUGUGUCUCUACUUUUCUCAGUGUACACCCAAAAUGUAUU